GAUCAGGUUGUUGGUGAGGUAAUGGCCCACCAAGCCUAUAACCGGUGCGGGCCGUGAGAGCGGGAGCCCGGAGAUGGGCACUGAGACAACGACCCAGGCCUUACGAGGCGCAGCAGGCGCGAAACCUCCGCAAUACACGAAAGUGUGACGGGGUUACCCAAAGUGUUCUAUUUAGAACUGUGGUAGGUGAGUAAUGUCCCCUACUAGAAAGGAGAGGGCAAGGCUGGUGCCAGCCGCCGCGGUAAAACCAGCUCUUCAAGUGGUCGGGAUAAUUAUUGGGCUUAAAGUGUCCGUAGCCGGUUUAGUAAGUUCCUGGUAAAAUCGGGUAGCUUAACUAUCUAUAUGCUAGGAAUACUGCUAUACUAGAGGGCGGGAGAGGUCUGAGGUACUACAGGGGUAGGGGUGAAAUCUUAUAAUCCUUGUAGGACCACCAGUGGCGAAGGCGUCAGACUGGAACGCGCCUGACGGUGAGGGACGAAAGCCAGGGGAGCGAACCGGAUUAGAUACCCGGGUAGUCCUGGCCGUAAACGAUGCAUACUAGGUGAUGGCACGGCCAUGAGCCGUGUCAGUGCCGUAGGGAAACCGUUAAGUGUGCCGCCUGGGAAGUACGGUCGCAAGGCUAAAACUUAAAGGAAUUGGCGGGGGAGCACCACAAGGGGUGAAGCCUGCGGUUCAAUUGGAUUCAACGCCGGGAAU
rnacentral:rRNA from 1 species